rnacentral:rRNA from 1 species
CGAACGCUGGCGGCGUGCUUAACACAUGCAAUUCGACCGGAAAGGCCCUGCUUUUGUGGGGUGCUCGAGUGGCGAACGGGUGAGUAACACGUGAGUAACCUGCCCUUGACUUUGGGAUAACUUCAGGAAACUGGGGCUAAUACCGGAUAGGAGCUCCUGCUGCAUGGUGGGGGUUGGAAAGUUUCGGCGGUUGGGGAUGGACUCGCGGCUUAUCAGCUUGUUGGUGGGGUAGUGGCUUACCAAGGCUUUGACGGGUAGCCGGCCUGAGAGGGUGACCGGCCACAUUGGGACUGAGAUACGGCCCAGACUCCUACGGGAGGCAGCAGUGGGGAAUAUUGCACAAUGGGCGGAAGCCUGAUGCAGCAACGCCGCGUGCGGGAUGACGGCCUUCGGGUUGUAAACCGCUUUCGCCUGUGACGAAGCGUGAGUGACGGUAAUGGGUAAAGAAGCACCGGCUAACUACGUG